AGUCGAGGGGCAGCGGGGCGGCAGGCUUGCCUGCCGCCGCCGGCGACCCCUAAAAGGUGAGUAACACGUAUGCAACCUGCCCGUGGCAGGGGGAUAAGCGGGGGAAACCCCGUCUAAUACCGCGUAACGCGGCCUAGGGACAUCCCAAGGCCGCCAAAGGGAGCAAUCCCGGCCACGGAUGGGCAUGCGGCGCAUUAGCUAGUCGGCGGGGUAACGGCCCACCGAGGCGACGAUGCGUAGGGGUUCUGAGAGGAAGGCCCCCCACACUGGUACUGAGACACGGACCAGACUCCUACGGGAGGCAGCAGUGAGGAAUAUUGGUCAAUGGGCGCGAGCCUGAACCAGCCAAGUCGCGUGAGGGAGGACGGCCCUACGGGUUGUAAACCUCUUUUGCCGGGGAGCAACGGGCGCCACGUGUGGCGCCACUGAGAGUACCCGGAGAAAAAGCAUCGGCUAACUCCGUGCCAGCAGCCGCGGUAAUACGGAGGAUGCGAGCGUUAUCCGGAUUUAUUGGGUUUAAAGGGUGCGUAGGCGGAUCGUUAAGUCAGUGGUCAAAUUGAGGGGCUCAACCCCUUCCCGCCAUUGAAACUGGCGCUCUUGAGUGGAAGAGAAGUAUGCGGAAUGCGUGGUGUAGCGGUGAAAUGCAUAGAUAUCACGCAGAACCCCGAUUGCGAAGGCAGCAUGCCGGCUUCCUACUGACGCUGAAGCACGAAAGCGUGGGGAUCGAACAGGAUUAGAUACCCUGGUAGUCCACGC
rnacentral:rRNA from 1 species